CCCGCCACUAGGCUCGUCUGCUUUGAGUGAUUGAGUUUAGUCCAGUGGAGGCUAAGAGAAACCCAGCCUUAGGAAACAGGGCUGCCCAAUCAGUGGGCAACUCUGUGCCGCAAGGUCUGGAACACUU